rnacentral:rRNA from 1 species
GACGUAGGGCGCGAGCGUUUGUCCGGAUUUAUUGGGGCGUAAAGAGCUCGUAGGCGGCUCGUUGCGUCGGCGUGUCGAAAACCCGCAGCUCAACUGUGGGCUUGCAGCUGAUACGGGCGGGGCUGGGAUUCGGUAGGGGAGACGUGGAAAUUCCUGGUGUAGCGGUGUAAAUGCGCAGAUAUCAGGAGGAACACCGGUGGCGAAGGCGGGUCUCUGGGC